GACGGUAGGGGCCAGCGUUGUUCGGAAUUACGUGGGUGGUAAAGGGUUCGUAGGCGGUGCGGCAAGUUGGGAGUGAAAAUCUCCGUGGGCCGUUCAACCCCUGAGCCUGGCUUCCGAAUACCGGGGCAGACUAGAAGGUAUGGCAGGGGAGAACGGAAUUCCGUGGUGAGCGGUGAAAUGCGCAGAUAUCAGGAGGAACACCGGUGGCGAAGGCGGUCUCUGGGCGAUUGACCUGACGCUGAGGAGCGAAAGUGUGGGGAGCGAACAGGG
rnacentral:rRNA from 1 species